rnacentral:rRNA from 1 species
UACGUAGGGUGCAAGCGUUAAUCGGAAUUACUGGGCGUAAAGCGUGCGCAGGCGGUUCGCUAAGACAGAUGUGAAAUCCCCGGGCUUAACCUGGGAACUGCAUUUGUGACUGGCGGGCUAGAGUAUGGCAGAGGGGGGGUAGAAUUCCACGUGUAGCAGUGAAAUGCGUAGAGAUGUGGAGGAAUACCGAUGGCGAAGGCAGCCCCCUGGGCCAAUACUGACGCUCAUGCACGAAAGCGUGGGGAGCAAC